GAUGAACGCUGGCGGCGUGCCUAAUACAUGCAAGUCGAGCGAACAGAUGAGGAGCUUGCUCCUCUGACGUUAGCGGCGGACGGGUGAGUAACACGUGGAUAACCUACCUAUAAGACUGGGAUAACUUCGGGAAACCGGAGCUAAUACCGGAUAAUAUAUUGAACCGCAUGGUUCAAUAGUGAAAGACGGUUUUGCUGUCACUUAUAGAUGGAUCCGCGCCGCAUUAGCUAGUUGGUAAGGUAACGGCUUACCAUGGCAACGAUGCGUAGCCGACCUGAGAGGGUGAUCGGCCACACUGGAACUGAGACACGGUCCAGACUCCUACGGGAGGCAGCAGUAGGGAAUCUUCCGCAAUGGGCGAAAGCCUGACGGAGCAACGCCGCGUGAGUGAUGAAGGUCUUCGGAUCGUAAAACUCUGUUAUUAGGGAAGAACAAAUGUGUAAGUAACUAUGCACGUCUUGACGGUACCUAAUCAGAAAGCCACGGCUAACUACGUG
rnacentral:rRNA from 1 species